rnacentral:misc_RNA from 1 species
CUCUGCAAGCAAUCAAUCACCAAAAUGUCGAAGGGUUACUCAAGGACGUUUAAGUGUCCUUACUGCCCAGUUGAGGCUUCGGUUGCCCAAUGCAGGCAGCUAUACUUCUAAUGCUUUGUAGGAAUUAUUCAGUGGUGGUAUUGGUGGGUGGGUUGGUGGUGACAAUAUCAGUUUAGUUUCUUUUGUGGAUUACUGUAUAUAGACAUUCUUUCGAAUGUCUCGUGAUUUUGGUUCAUUCAGUCGCAUCAAUACUAAAUAUAGGCAUGUUUAUAGAUAAAAUAGAGGUAACUGCAACGAACCAAAAUCACGAGACAUUCGAAAGAA